rnacentral:rRNA from 1 species
AGUGAACGCUGGCGGUAGGCCUAACACAUGCAAGUCGAACGGCAGCACGGUAAGAGCUUGCUCUUACGGGUGGCGAGUGGCGGACGGGUGAGGAAUACAUCGGAAUCUACUUUUUCGUGGGGGAUAACGUAGGGAAACUUACGCUAAUACCGCAUACGACCUACGGGUGAAAGCAGGGGAUCUUCGGACCUUGCGCGAUUGAAUGAGCCGAUGUUGGAUUAGCUAGUUGGCGGGGUAAAGGCCCACCCAGGCGACGAUCCGUAGCUGGUCUGAGAGGAUGGUCAGCCACACUGGAACGUGGACACGGUCCAGACUCCUACGGGAGGCAGCAGUGGGGAAUAUUGGACAAUGGGCGCAAGCCUGAUCCAGCCAUACCGCGUGGGUGAAGAAGGCCUUCGGGUUGUAAAGCCCUUUUGUUGGGAAAGAAAAGCAGCAGGUUAAUACCCCGCUGUUCUGACGGUACCCAAAGAAUAAGCACCGGCUAACUUCGUG